CAAAGUCACACCAUGCUCUACUGUUUGAGCUACAUAAAUGCUCGUUUAAAAAGAAAAACCAUGGUGUGUCCUCAUUUUGAUCACUAGGUAAACUUGUGAAGGUGUCAAUAACCAGGCUGAUUAUCACUAUGAGUAUAUGAUAAACAGUAGUGAGUGAACACUGUGAGUGACGUGACACUCAGCCUGCUUUCGUCUCUAGAAACAGAAACUAUUGCCAGCUGUACAAAGAGUCAGAAGUGCUGCACAGGCCCAUCUGCCAGAACACACACACACACACACGAAAGUCUGGAAACUCCAGAGUCACGAUCCUUGGCGCCCGAGUGUGUGAGUGAUGCUUUUAGUAAACACUGACACAGCUGGGCUGUUGGAGAGCAGCUAAAUUGUUGGCUAAAUUGUUGAUUACAACAUGUACCUGUGACUAGCGCUGCGGUGUAGCUUAACACAUAUCACAUAGGCUCGUUUAAUAAAGAGCUGCAUUGAGUCACCCACACAUGCUCGAGUAUGGGUAGGGCAGAGAGGAUGACUAAGUCCCGCACCUGCUGGGCUGCCAGGGCAUUUCACUAAAGACACUUACACAGGCAGAGAAAGGGAACAACAGAGGAAGGGAGGGGGAGUAAAAGAGGAUAUUUCCAGUGAAGGCAUAAGGAGGAUGUUGUGAAAUCAUGUUGCGUAUGUGGCUGCACAGCUGCAGCUUCGUAAAGAGGGGCGGACUGAGCAUGUGCAAAGAAGAAAAGAAGAAUGUAAAAGAACUGGGGCACCUUCUGCUGCCUGUUGCACACAGUUGGAUUCCUGCAAGUCAAGCCUGGUAGAUAACAUGUGUGUGUAUCCAAGUGUAUGGUGUUCUCGGGCCUGGCUGUGGGAAAAGAGAUAGAGUCACUGAAUGUGUGUGUGUGUGUGUGUGUGUACAGGGGACACAUUCUUGCACCGUGAGAAUGCCCAGGGGAGAUGGGAUGCAUCCUUUGCAUCCAGAUUGUAGCCUGAUUCAUUCCCGUGCUCAUUCCUAUGGACUCUCAGGCUUGUUCACAGAAAAACUCUUCUGACUGCUACUACAUCAACCAUUGCUGAAAACUGUUCUAUAAUUAAAAAUGUAGAAAAAUUAUUCUAAAAUUAAGUUUAUUUAUUUAUUGUUUAUAUGUUUGUUUUUGUAUAACAGUGUUUGCCUAACAUGUUGUUUUAUUUGUAUUACAUGUAUACAACUCAAUAAAGGAAAUAAACAGCAGAAAAACA
ensembl:lncRNA